ensembl:lncRNA
GAGCAACUUGUUACUCUGUGUAUUGCGGGUGAUGCAGGAAAACAAUCUCACUAAUGGAUGUUUCUGUGGCUUCAUUCUGGAGGGGAGAGGUGAUGCAGAAUGGUUUUUUUUUUGUUAGUUUUUUUGUGCUUUUCACACCCUUUUUCAACCAAGAUAAAAAUAUAUAAAAAUUAAUUAAAAAUUUGCCAAAAAUAUAUAUUUAUAUGUAUGCCCUUAAACAGUGUCCAUUGGUAAUGAGUGCUUCCUAGGUGCAGUAUAAAUAAAAAUUGCAUUGUAUUUAAGAUUGUAUAUGUAUUUUAUUGCCCUUAUUGCCCUUCUGACAUACAUCGUAUUUUCUCACAACUCUUUACCUUUUCAGUCCUACUUGAGGUCUUAAAGUCUCUACUAAUGAGCUGACGAGUUAAAUCUGGUGUGUUAGAUGAGGAAGACAAUGCUGGGGUGCUCCAGGACAGUUUUGAAAAUCACUGCAUUUCAGAGACAUGUUCUUAAAUGUGACUCAUAUACUUAAAUGCAUGCACAGAUUUAAGGCAGCUUUAAUCACCUUUUUGGUAACUUCAGGACUUAACUGACAACAUAACUAUGACAGUGGGUGCUCAUAGUUUCUUUUGCACUUUAAAAAUUAAAUUAUAUAUAGCUCAUAACGCUGCAUUUAUGCAUGUAAUUGAAGAGCACAUGCUGUGAGCACAGUAUAAUGGCUGACAGGACAGGAAUUUUUUUUUACUGACAUAUGGCCUGACAACAUCUCAUCUGACCACAGUUCCCUUGUUACCUGUACCUUUUCUGCACUUAUUUGACUAGCGCCUGGCGAAGUUGGAGUGUGAGACUGAAAAGUCUCCUGUUUCAUGUGGUCAUUCUGCGUCUGCACCUAGUGGUUAGAGAGUUUGACUCCUAACCCUAAGGUUGUGGGUUUGAGUCUCGGGCCGGUAAUACCACGACUGAGGUGCCCUUGAGCAAGGCACCGAACCCCCAACUGCUCCCCGGGUGUGUGUUCACUGCUGUGUGUGUGCACUUUAGAUGGGUUAAAUGCAGAGCACGAAUUCUGGGUCACCAUACUUGGCUGUAUGUCACGUCACUAUCACUAUCACUGUUGUUAAUUGGGUUGACAACCCUAGCUCUGCCCAGUGUUAAUUGUGUUAAAUAUCUUUAAUGCGUUAAACUGAAAAAAUUAAUUGCAAUCGUUAACCUGUUAAUUUUGACAGCAUAUAUACAAUUUUUAUUUCAUUAAGCUCUGCUGUUUACAACAAACUGUAUAUUUAGCAUAUAUUUAAAAUACAUUUUGGCCUGAAAAAAUAGCUGAGUUUCACAAACGUUUUUGAAUUAAGAACUCCUUUCAUAACUGAUUUGAUCACUGAUUCCCUUAGUGUAAGUACACAGUCUUAUACCUUAUAUGUUUUUUAGCUUUUCAAAUACUUUUAAAAAGCUUUUUUUUU